rnacentral:rRNA from 1 species
UACGUAGGGACCAAGCGUUGUUCGGAUUUACUGGGCGUAAAGCGCACGUAGGCGGAUUGUUAAGUCAGGGGUGAAAUCCUGGAGCUCAACUCCAGAACUGCCUUUGAUACUGGCGAUCUCGAGUCCGGGAGAGGUGAGUGGAACUGCGAGUGUAGAGGUGAAAUUCGUAGAUAUUCGCAAGAACACCAGUGGCGAAGGCGGCUCACUGGCCCGGUACUGACGCUGAGGUGCGAAAGCGUGGGGAGCAAACAGG